rnacentral:rRNA from 1 species
GAACGAGGAUAUAUCCUUCGGGAUAUAAGCCGAGUGGCACAAGGGUGAGCAAUGCAUAGAUUACCUACCUUUAGGAUAAGGGCAACUUUGUGAAAACGGAGCUAAUACUUAAUAAUACAAAAGAAAAUAAUUUUCUUUUGUCAAAGGGAGGGUAGCAAUACCUUUCGCCUAGAGAGGGGUUUAUGUCCUAUCAGCUUGUUGGUGGGGUAAUAGCCCACCAAGGCGAAGACGGGUAGCCGGUUUAAGAGGAUGGUCGGCCACACUGGGACUGAGACACUGCCCAGACUUCUACGGAAGGCUGCAGUCGAGAAUCUUUCGCAAUGCCCGAAAGGGUGACGAAGCGACGCCGCGUGGGUGAAGAAGGCCUUCGGGUUGUAAAGCCCUGUCAGGAGUUAUGAAAUGUAAGUGCGCUAAUAUCGUGCUUAUUUGACAAAGGCUCCAAAGGAAGCCACGGCUAACUCUGUGCCAGCAGCCGCGGUAAUACAGAGGUGGCGAGCGUUGUUCGGAAUUAUUGGGCGUAAAGAGCACGUAGGUGGGUUUGCAAGUCAGAUGUGAAAGCCUUCUGUUCAACGGAAGAAUUGCAUCUGAAACUGCUAAUCUUGAGUAUAGGAGGGGAGAAUGGAACUUCUGGUGGAGCGGUGAAAUGCGUAGAUAUCAGAAGGAACGCCGGCGGCGAAAGCGAUUCUCUGGCCUAUUACUGACACUCAGUGUGCGAAAGCUAGGGGAGCAAACGGGAUUAGAUACCCCGGUAGUCCUAGCCGUAAACGAUGGGCACUAAGUAGAGGGAAUUACCUAUAUUCUCUCUGCCGUAGCUAACGCAUUAAGUGCCCCGCCUGGGGAGUACGGCCGCAAGGCUAAAACUCAAAAGAAUUGACGGGGGCUCGCACAAGCGGUGGAGCAUGUGGCUUAAUUCGAUGCAACGCGAAAAACCUUACCGGGGCUUGACAUGAUAGAAGUAGGAACCUGAAAGGGGGACGAACGGUAUCCAGUCCGUAGCUAUCACAGGUGUUGCAUGGCUGUCGUCAGCUCGUGUCGUGAGACGUUGGGUUAAGUCCCCUAACGAGCGAAACCCUUGUUUUUAGUUACCAGCGGGUUAUGCCGGGUACUCUAGAAAGACUGCCGUCGUCAAGACGGAGGAAGGUGGGGAUGACGUCAAGUCAUCAUGGCCCUUAUGCCCCGGGCUGCACACGUGCUACAAUGGUCGGUACAGACGGAAGCGAAGCCGAGAGGUGAAGCGAAUCCUAAAAAGCCGAUCUCAGUUCGGAUUGGAGGCUGAAAUUCGCCUCCAUGAAGUUGGAAUCGCUAGUAAUCGCGGACCAGCAAUGUCGCAGUGAAUAUGUUCCCGAGCCUUGUACACACCGCCCGUCAAGCCACCCAAGCAGGAUGCACCCGAAAACAUUAUAUCUAACCAGGGCAACUUGGAGGAAAAUGUUGAAGGAGUGUUUUGUGA